rnacentral:rRNA from 1 species
GUACCAGACUCCUACGGGAGGCAGCAGUGGGGGAUAUUGCACAAUGGGGGGAACCCUGAUGCAGCGACGCCGCGUGGGUGAAGGAGCGUUUCGGCGCGUAAAGCCCUAUCGGCAGGGAAGAAGGAGGACGGUACCUGACUAAGAAGCCCCGGCUAACUACGUGCCAGCAGCCGCGGUAAUACGUAGGGGGCAAGCGUUAUCCGGAUUUACUGGGUGUAAAGGGAGCGUAGACGGCAUGGCAAGUCAGAUGUGAAAGCCCGGGGCUCAACCCCGGGACUGCAUUUGAAACUGUCAGGCUGGAGUGCAGGAGAGGUAAGUGGAAUUCCUAGUGUAGCGGUGAAAUGCGUAGAUAUCAGGAGGAACACCGGUGGCGAAGGCGGCCUGCUGGACUGCGACUGACGUUGAGGCCCGAAAGCGUGGGGAGCAAACAGGAUUAGAUACCCGUGUACA